rnacentral:rRNA from 1 species
GGCGAACGCUGGCGGCGUGCUUAACACAUGCAAGUCGAACGAUGAAGUUCCUUCGGGAAUGGAUUAGUGGCGAACGGGUGAGAAACACGUGAGAAACCUGCCUUUCAUUUUGGGAUAACUCCGGGAAACCGGAGCUAACACCGAAUACUCCGUCUCGGCGGCAUCGCUGAGCCGGGAAAAAAUUUUGAUGAAAGAUGGUCUCGCGGCCUAUCAGCUAGUUGGUGAGGUAAUGGCUCACCAAGGCGACGACGGGUAGCCGGCCUGAGAGGGCGACCGGCCACACUGGGACUGAGACACGGCCCAGACUCCUACGGGAGGCAGCAGUGGGGAAUAUUGGGCAAUGGGCGCAAGCCUGACCCAGCGACGCCGCGUGAGGGAUGAAGGCCUUCGGGUUGUAAACCUCUUUCAGUAGGGAAGAAGCGAAAGUGACGGUACCUAAAGAAGAAGCACCGGCUAACUAUGUGCCAGCAGCCGCGGUAA